CUUAUCCAGUAAAACAGAAAUUUCCCUUUGACUUCAGUUUUAGACCGAAGGUUAGUUUUCGUCUAAGUCCUCGGCGAGAACUUUUUCCCUCAAUCUCGGAGAGUGCGCUGUGGGGCAGCUGUUGCUUAUGCAUUGGUGUCUUAUGAAACCUGAGAGUUGCUUCAGGUAGGAUCACCACUUAUGACACGAUGCCAGCAUCUCGUUUCUCGCGCUCGUAAAGGGUUAUGAAAACUGCAAGAUUUCAAGUGGGAUAAUCGUCAAACGCCGAAAUUAUACUGGGCUUUUAAUGGACGUUGACAUUGAGACAUGACGGGGGAUGUGAACUUCCCAAAGGCCAUAUGACAGACCUGGAGGACAAUGACAAAUUCCUGGAGACUCUCGGACCGCAUGUGAACCAUGAAGCAGAAAUGGGAACGUCAGCAACAUCCGAGGUCCUCCAUUGGCAGAGGGCAGUAGACAGUGGGUCACACUGCUCGCAUUACUGGACGUUUACAGUGCAGUACCGUCAAAAACGAGGUUUAUAUCCGGAUAGAAGAUGCCACACAGGAGUCCCCCUUAUUCAGCUAUUAUCGUUACCCUGCUAUCCUGGCAACACCUCUUCUGAUGCAGUUUAGAAAGCUUCAGAAACAUGAAACCACUUGUGCUUGCCCUGUAUCCUUCUGUCCAGCAUCCUUGCAGGGGCAACUGGAGUACACACUCUGCGUACACAGAGCCCACACAGCAGGGGGGUGGUCUUAUGUCAUAACUGUCACUUGCUAUCCAUGGCUCCAUUUAACUACAUGGUAUGAAACUGCUUCAGUCCCGGAAUGAUUCACACACUGGGUGUCAGAUUUACACCAGGGCAGAAACAACCUAUGAAAGCUCUAAAGGGAAUUUUGAGUUUUUUUAAAGACACAAACUGGAUCCCACUUUGACUGACUCACUGAAAAUAUUUCUGGAGGUGGUAUUCCUACAUACUAAAGACUGUUUCUUAUACUAUAUAAAGGGCCAUUUGGAAUGCAACAUUUGUUGGCUAAAAUGUACUAUUUAUUAUUUAUAUAAAUAGCUGCCAGUGGGACAACAGAGUUCCGGUGCUGCACUAGAGCACAGACUCAGGCAUUCUGCUGUGAGAUUAUCACAUAAACAUUCAUAGAUUUUUUCGGAUGUGAGGAUAAACAAUUUGGGCAGUAGCUUACAUACUACACUUUUGAGAAAAUACACGUUUUCAUCUUUAAAAGGGUCUUCCAUACAGUCAUAUGUGUAGGAUUCUCAGGAGUCGUAGAAUUUGUGAUGUGGUGAUUGAUAUCAAAAUCUGAAGGAGCUUAAGGAAUGUUUGGGGUAACAUCGUUAUCCUUGAGUGUGCUUGGACCAACUGUGUCCAAAUUUCUUAGGCUUCAUCCACGACAGAAAAAAAAACUAUAUUGGUUGUGUGUCCAUUAACAUAUAACAUGCAGAGCAAUUCGCGACAUUAUGAAGAAAUGUUGGCCUACUUUUAAAAAUCUUAUUUUCUCCUUCAAAAGCGGCCUUGGAGAUGUGUUGGUAAAACCACUAUCAUCAUGUUCCACCUGUGUUUGAUCCCUCACCUUAUUGUUUUCCAUGUGACUAUUAUGUACAUUGUAAUAAUAUUUUAAAAACCGAAAGUUUUACUCCCUAAAUUAGAAGCAAACAUUUCAUCAGAGGAUUAUAUGUAACACAAUACAUGUGGUGCAUCUGUUACUAUGACUGUGUGGUCAUGUAGGAAAUGUGGGAAAAACAACCACAUGUUAGUUUUGGGAAGCAGGAAAGACAAGAGUCACAUGCAAGUAGAAAUGUAUGGCUUUACUGGAGCAGCGUGAAGUCUAAAUAAAACAAUCCAAAACACGACAGGCAAAAAAGGCAGGAACUGUAAUAACAGCCUUAGGUCACAACCAGAAAAUGAGUGAUAAAUUACAAACAAGGCUCAAGAAUAAAGGUAACUAGGAGCAAGUGUAGUUAGGAGAUUGGGAGCGACCCAGAGCUUUCUGGGAAACAUUGUCCCUGGCAGGCUUGGUGAACAAAAGAUUGCUAUCAGAUGUGGUGAUCCUAUCUCACCAAUAGUGAAUCAUUGUAUCAAAACAGAUCAUAAUACUCAUUCCGAAAAUUGUGUCUGUAUUGAAGCGGUGGCCAAGAUAGGGAGGGGAAGUGUUCUGGACACCCAUUUACUAAAGAGGGAAAUGUUUUUGAUCUUUGAGUAGGAGACAUUUACUCCGGAUGCUCUGACUAAAGAUUGUCACCAUUGUUGUGGUCGGUGACUUUUUGGGGGUCAAUAUUAGGAUAUUUUCAAAAGACUAUGAGCAUAUAAAGAGUAAUUUGGUGUUGUAAUUUGUACCUCUGUUUAAGAUGUAGGAUAUUGAUCUGUAGUGAUGAUGAUCUUUAUCAACUGUAUGGGAUCUUAUCUUUGUAAGAUAUAUGUUGUAAAUAUCAAUGUUGCUGUUUUUAGUGCACUUGUUAAUUUUUGGUGUAUGUUUUUUCCUCUCUCUAAAAUGGCAAAUCGCAUGUAUGCUGCAUGUAUUAUGUUCAAUCAUUUCACAGCUUGCUAGGUUAAUGUGGAAAAUAAAUAUUUGAUG